CAGUAGCCGCGGUAAUACGUAGGUGGCAAGCGUUGUCCGGAAUUAUUGGGCGUAAAGGGCUCGCAGGCGGUUUCUUAAGUCUGAUGUGAAAGCCCCCGGCUCAACCGGGGAGGGUCAUUGGAAACUGGGAAACUUGAGUGCAGAAGAGGAGAGUGGAAUUCCACGUGUAGCGGUGAAAUGCGUUGAGAUCGGAAAGAACACCAACGGCGAAAGCACUCUGCUGGGCCGACACUGACACUGAGAGACGAAAGCUAGGGGAGCAAAUGGGAUUAGAUACCCCUGUAGUCCCUGUCUCUUAUAC
rnacentral:rRNA from 1 species